rnacentral:rRNA from 1 species
AACGAACGCUGGCGGCAUGCCUAACACAUGCAAGUCGAGCGCCCGUAGCAAUACGGGAGCGGCGCACGGGUGAGUAACGCGUGGGAACCUGCCCAGAGGUCUGGGACAACCGCGGAAACUGCGGCUGAUACCGGAUGAUUCCUGAGGGACAAAGAUUUAUCGCCUUUGGAGGGGCCCGCGUCGGAUUAGGUAGUUGGUGGGGUAACGGCUCACCAAGCCUAUGAUCCGUAACUGGUCUGAGAGGAUGACCAGUCACACUGGGACUGAGACACGGCCCAGACUCCUACGGGAGGCAGCAGUGGGAGUAUUGGACAAUGGGGGCAACCCUGAUCCAGCAAUGCCGCGUGGGUGAUGAAGGCC